AGCGAACGCUGGCGGCAGGCCUAACACAUGCAAGUCGAACGGAUCCUUCGGGAUUAGCGGCGGACGGGUGAGUAACACGGGGGAACGUGCCCUUUGGUUCGGAACAACUCAGGGAAACUUGAGCUAAUACCGGAUGUGCCCUUCGGGUGAAAGAUUUAGCGCCAUUGGAGCGGCCGGCGUCUGAUUAGCUAGUUGGUGGGGUAAAGGCACACCAAGGCGACGAUCAGUAGCUGGUCUGAGAGGAUGAUCAGCCACCUUGGGACUGAGACACGGCCCAAACUCCUACGGGAGGCAGCAGUGGGGAAUCUUGCGCAAUGGGCGAAAGCCUGACGCAGCCAUGCCGCGUGAAUGAUGAAGGUCUUAGGAUUGUAAAAUUCUUUCACCGGGGACGAUAAUGACGGUACCCGGAGAAGAAGCCCCGGCUAACUUCGUGCCAGCAGCCGCGGUAAUAC
rnacentral:rRNA from 1 species